rnacentral:rRNA from 1 species
CGCCUUGCCAGCCCGCUCAGAACUUAAAGGAAGUUGACGGGGCCGCGACAAGCGAGGAGCAUGUGGUUUAAUUCGAUGAUACGCGAGGAACCUUACCUGGGCUCGAACGUAAGAUGACUGUAGGUGAAAGCUUACAUCUCUUCGGAGCAUUUUACGAGGUGCUGCAUGGUUGUCGUCAGCUCGUGCCGUGAGGUGUCGGGUUAAGUCCCAUAACGAGCGCAACCCCUACCUUUAGUUGCCAUCAGGUUAAGCUGGGGACUCUAAAGGAACUGCCUACGCAAGUAGUGAGGAAGGCGGGGAUGACGUCAAAUCAGCACGGCCCUUACGUCCAGGGCUACACACGUGCUACAAUGGCCGAUACAGAGGGCAGCUACCUGGUGACAGGAUGCAAAUCUCCAAAGUCGGUCUCAGUUCGGAUCGGAGUCUGCAACCCGACUCCGUGAAGUUGGAUUCGCUAGUAAUCGCGCAUCAGCCAUGGCGCGGUGAAUACGUUCCCGGGCCUU